GCGGUCCAGGAUAGCAUGCAUGUGUAGUUUAAGACCUAUACGGAGGAAACGGCGGAGGGCUCAUUAAAACAGUAUUAGUUUCUUUGGUUAGUCUUUACAAGGAGAGCUUUGUGGAUGAUAAAGCUAAUACUUGAGACGAUCCGGGAAGUAUUUUUACUUUUCGGCCCUCGGUUGAUAGAAAAGGGAACAAACGACAUUCUCUUGUUGAAAAGGAUGCCGCGACUUUUGAGGAAAGCGACGCUUUUAACAAGAAACCAAUGGGAAUUUCUGAUCCAUCAAUUUGUUGGUAGUAUCGAGGACUACCAAGAUUAUAACGGAUAACGAGGAAUUGGGGUUCGACAUCGGAGAGGGAGCUUUACAGAUGGCUACCACUUCUAAGGAAGGCAGCAGGCGCGUAAAUUACCCACUUUCGACUCGAACAGGUAGGGACGACCAAUAACUCUUGGCACCCCUCGGGGUGACUUGAAGGAAUGAUUUAGAAGUAAAUUCUCUAAAGAAAUCAAUUGGAGGGCAAGUCUGGUGCCAGCGCCCGCGGUAAUUCCAGCUCCAAUAGUGAUAGUGAG
rnacentral:rRNA from 1 species